rnacentral:rRNA from 1 species
UACGUAGGGGGCGAGCGUUGUCCGGAUUUAUUGGGCGUAAAGAGCGUGUAGGCGGCCAGGUAGGUCCGUUGUGAAAACUCGAGGCUCAACCUCGAGACGUCGAUGGAAACCAUCUGGCUAGAGUCCGGAAGAGGAGAGUGGAAUUCCUGGUGUAGCGGUGAAAUGCGCAGAUAUCAGGAAGAACACCUAUGGCGAAGGCAGCUCUCUGGGCCGGUACUGACGCUGAGACGCGAAAGCGUGGGGAGCGAACAGG